rnacentral:rRNA from 1 species
AGCGUGGGGAGGUGAGACCACGGUCCAAGGACUCCUACGGGAGGCAGGCAAGUUGGAGGGAAUAUUUGCACAAUGGAGGGAAACUCUUGGAUGCAGCAACGCCGCGUGGAGGGAUGACGCAUUUGCGGUGUGUAAGACUCCUUUUAAGAGGGAGAGAUAAUGACGGUACCUCUUGAAUAAGCACCGGCUAACUCCGUGCCAGCAGCCGCGGUAAUACGGAGGGUGCAAGCGUUACUCGGAAUCACUGGGCGUAAAGGGCGCGUAGGCUGGCUUUUAAGUCAGAUGUGAAAUCCUAUGGCUUAACCAUAGAACUGCAUGGUGAAACUGAAAGCCUAGAGUUCAGAAGGGGCAGAUGGAAUUAGUGGUGUAGGGGUAAAAUCCGUAGAUAUCACUAGGAAUAUCAAAAGCGAAGGCGAUCUGCUGGGAUGAUACUGACGCUGAGGCGCGAAAGCGUGGGGAGCAAACAGGAUUAGAUACCCUGGUAGUCCACGCCCUAAACGAUGAAUGUCUAGUCGUCGGGGUACUCGUUACUUCGGUGAUGCACUUAAACAAGAUUAAGCAUUCCGCCUGGGGAGUACGGUCGCAAGAUUAAAACUCAAAGGAAUAGACGGGGACCCGCACAAGUUGGUGGAGCAUGUGGUUUAAUUCGAAGAUACACGAAGAACCUUACCUGGCCUUGACAUGGUAGGAAUCCUGUAGAGAUACGGGAGUGCUGGCUUGCCAGAGCCUACACACAGGUGCUGCACGGCUGUCGUCAGCUCGUGUCGUGAGAUGUUGGGUUAAGUCCCGCAACGAGCGCAACCCUCGUCCUUAGUUGCUAACAGUUCGGCUGAGCACUCUAAGGAGACUGCCUUCGCAAGGAGGAGGAAGGUGAGGACGACGUCAAGUCAUCAUGGCCCUUACGGCCAGGGCUACACACGUGCUACAAUGGGGCGUACAAAGAGUUGCAAUACCGCGAGGUGGAGCCAAUCUCUUAAAGCGUCUCUCAGUUCGGAUUGUUCUCUGCAACUCGAGAACAUGAAGCUGGAAUCACUAGUAAUCGUAGAUCAGCUAUGCUACGGUGAAUACGUUCCCGGGUCUUGUACUCACCGCCCGUCACACCAUGGGAGUUGAUUUCACCCGAAAUCGGGAUGCCAAACUGGCUACCGCUUACGGUGGAAU